rnacentral:rRNA from 1 species
UACGUAGGGGGCAAGCGUUGUCCGGAUUUAUUGGGCGUAAAGAGCGUGUAGGCGGCUAGGUAGGUCCGUUGUGAAAACUCGAGGCUCAACCUCGAGACGUCGAUGGAAACCAUCUAGCUAGAGUCCGGAAGAGGAGAGUGGAAUUCCUGGUGUAGCGGUGAAAUGCGCAGAUAUCAGGAAGAACACCCGUGGCGAAGGCGGCUCUCUGGUACGGGACUGACGCUGAGACGCGAAAGCGUGGGGAGCGAACGGG